rnacentral:SRP_RNA from 12 species
GGGGGUUUUGCUCCCCCCUCAACUUGACCCCUAUCAUGUCUUCUGUGCUGAGGCCUACGUCUCGAGCAGCCUCGUCAUAAUGGGGUUCUGGUUCCUUCAGUGAAUAAUAUUCCGUCCCGAAGGGGUUGGUGGAGGUGGGAC